UGGGGAAUAUUGCGCAAUGGGGGGAACCCCGACGCAGCCAUGCCGCGUGAAUGAAGAAGGCCUUCGGGUUGUAAAGUUCUUUCGGUAUUGAGGAAGGUUGAUGUGUUAAUAGCACAUCAAAUUGACGUUAAAUACAGAAGAAGCACCGGCUAACUCCGUGCCAGCAGCCGCGGUAAUACGGAGGGUGCGAGCGUUAAUCGGAAUAACUGGGCGUAAAGGGCACGCAGGCGGUUAUUUAAGUGAGGUGUGAAAGCCCCGGGCUUAACCUGGGAAUUGCAUUUCAGACUGGGUAACUAGAGUACUUUAGGGAGGGGUAGAAUUCCACGUGUAGCGGUGAAAUGCGUAGAGAUGUGGAGGAAUACCGAAGGCGAAGGCAGCCCCUUGGGAAUGUACUGACGCUCAUGUGCGAAAGCGUGGGGAGCAAACAGGAUUAGAUACCCUGGUAGUCCACGCUGUAAACGCUGUCGAUUUGGGGGUUGGGGUUUAACUCUGGCGCCCGUAGCUAACGUGAUAAAUCGACCGCCUGGGGAGUACGGCCGCAAGGUUA
rnacentral:rRNA from 1 species